rnacentral:sRNA from 1 species
CCUUAGCCCCGAUUACAUCACUAUACCUUUAUUUUCGUAGGAGUUCAGCGAACUUCGUUUGAAAUGAAAAGCGGGAAUUAGC